AAAAUCGAAAUAUGACCUCCCCAUACCGAUUUUUUUUCGGAAAUGUCGUUGUACUUGUAAAUCCGAACAUGUCUUCCGGUAGAAAAAACGUAAGUUAACAUCGUUGUAAAACCAAAAGUUUCUUCGCUCCACUCGGAAUCUAAAAUAAAUUGGCGAAUUUGACCCCGCGCGGUUCUGCUCCGUUGUUAUAUUUUUGCAAUCAAAACGCUUUUCGUUUAAAAAAAAAAAAAAAAUUGCAUUUCGUCCGUCAGCAAACGCGGUACUCUACGCCGAGUAUAGUCGGAGGUAAUUUAUUCGCAAAGUAGGUACUUUGAGAGUGGAAGCGAAAAAAACGAAAACAAAACGAAUUGCAGCGUUGAAAUAUGAUACAGGCCGCCGCCGCCGCCCGCAGUGUACCCGUAGGCAUUAAACCGUGGAGAGAAAAUUGUACAUUAUUAUUCCGGCGAUAUCGA